AUUUGUCAUGAGGUUUUCGGCGUUCUAAACCAGAAGAAAGAAAAUUAUUUGUUUCUAAAAAGAUGAGAAUACUUUAGAGACCCCUGGUGCAUACCUCCUUAAAUGCCAGACAACAAUGCAGAGUGGAGAGUACUUACAACCAGCACUUUGAGAUUGCAAUUCAGAUCAGUCAGCAACCAAAUAUUUGUUAUCAAACACUACAAGUGCAUUAGUUUUUCAAAACAAUGUAAUAUAGUGAGAAUCUCAGAAGAACACUACUACAUACAUUCUUUCGUUUUUUGUAAGUGCUCUAAAUACAUGAGAAAUUACGACCGGCUGCUUAGAAUAUUAAUAACUGACCGAACGAAUGGCGAUGAGUGGACACUCGUUGAUUAAUAUGUGGCCUCAA